CGAGAAAACAUAUGGAAUUAAGUUUUGUAUGUUAUCGCACUGCUUAGUGGUUUCAUAUGUACAGCUAUUAAAAACAGACAUGUCUAACUAACCGAAGCAAUGCUGAGUUGAGCUAAGAGGGAAAGCACCUGCAGUAUCCUUGCUGUGAAAGGACCCCACUCACUUAUGCGCGAGUGUGAGACAGAUGACUUUUUCCCCGGCUGAGUGCAUCUCAGUUCUCAGUUACGUCCUUAGCUAAUUUUAAACGCGCAUUACACAUGCAAAUGGCGCACCUUUUUUGCUAUGGCUCUUUAUUUUGCUGCUGCUGUUCUGCUACGCUUCUGUUUGUUUUCCCCAACUUCUCUAUUUGCUUUUGAUAAAUUUUUAAAAAUAUUUUAGCAACAGCAGCGCCGGGGAAAAGUAGCAGAGCCCGAGGCAUGACUGCCCCGCAUCUACAAGAUAUUUAUUUUAUAUCAGCGGAAAAAUAGAUGAUCAUAAAACACAUGCAGAGAAACAUCCUGUGGGGCAAAAGUAAAAGCGAAAUAAGGAAGGAAAAACGCACACGCUGCGAGGGAAAAAAAGGAGGAAAGAGAAGCAAGGAGGCACUGGCAGUGCUGGAGCUUUUCAUUUUAGCGAUAUCCUUUUUAAGCAUAAAGUGCUGCCGUAAAUCACAGAGCCGCACACAUACACAAAAACACACACACACACAAAGCAGAGAACUAUGGCAGGAGCAGGAAGGGUGCCCCCUGUGUGCUUGUGUGUGUACGGAUGCGAAUCACAUGCAUCUCUUGGUUACAUUUUAUGAACGCGCGCUGUUCCUCUCGCGAGCACAUCCUGAAUGGCUGGCUGCCUCGCACUCGCCUUCCUCACAGCUUAUCCUGUGCGUGUGCAACACCACCCAGCCACCCACUGCACGGCAGCAGCAGCCAAGCCAACCAAUCCACCCACUGGCCCACUGCACUGGCAGCCACUUUGCCAGCUCUUCAUAUAUGCAAACGGCCCUGCAUGUUUCUUGCAGUUUUCUUCCACCGUUGUUUACUAUUAAAAUAUCACGGAAAUUACACAUUUUACUCUGUUUAUGCUGUGCAGCAGCAAAAGGAAGCACGACGGGAAUACGCCAACGAGAAAUGCACCUACGCACUGAAAAAAAAUUAUUAGACUACAACUAUGGUUGCCCUGGAGAUUUCAAGCACCCCGUCGCUGCUCACUUGCCCGACCUGUUCCACCUGCAACGGCUGCAUCAUCUGGAUUGUUGGACUCACCUUCGACGGUCAUGUUGGCAUCGCGUGCAGUUAGCUGGAAGUGGGGUGCAUCGCCGGACACUUCGCACCUGUAGACGCCCGACGACUUGACGCCCAAUAAAUUGAGCUCCACGCGACAGGAGGAUUCGUUGCACUCGUUGCCGUCAUCGAUCAGCUGCACGCCCUCCACGGCGAACGGAAUGUAGGUGGGCGGGGUGAGGGGCGAGUAUCU